rnacentral:rRNA from 1 species
AGAGUUUGAUCCUGGCUCAGAUUGAACGCUGGCGGCGUGCUUAACACAUGCAAGUCGAGCGGUAGCAGGCGUAGCAAUACGUGCUGACGAGCGGCGAACGGGUGAGUAAUGCUUCGGAAUCUUCCUCGUAGUGGGGAAUAACCUGGGGAAACUCAGGCUAAUACCGCAUACGAACUACGGUUGAAAGCAGGGGAUCGCAAGACCUUGCGCUAUGAGAUGAGCCGAAGUCGGAUUAGCUAGUUGGUGGGGUAAAGGCCUACCAAGGCGACGAUCCGUAGCUGGUCUGAGAGGACGACCAGCCACACUGGGACUGAGACACGGCCCAGACUCCUACGGGAGGCAGCAGUGGGGAAUAUUGGACAAUGGGGGCAACCCUGAUCCAGCGACGCCGCGUGUGUGAAGAAGGCCUGCGGGUUGUAAAGCACUUUUAGUGGGGACAAAAAGCUACGGAUUAAUACUCUGUGGUCUUGAUUUAACCCAAAGAAAAAGCACCGGCUAACUCUGUG